rnacentral:rRNA from 1 species
CUACGGGUUGCACCAGUCGAGGAAAUUUUACAAUGCUCGCAAGAGUGAUAAAAUAAACCAGAGUGUUCCAUUUAAUGGAACUUUUGUCUACUGUAAAAAGGCAGACGAAUAAGGACUGGGCAAGACCGGUGCCAGCCGCCGCGGUAAUACCGGCGGUCCAAGUUGUAUCCACAUUUAUUGGGUCUAAAACAUUCGUAGCUUGUUUGAUAAGUUUCUUGUGAAAUCUGAUAUCUUAAAUAUCAGGCAUGCAAGAAAUACUGUCUUACUAGAGACCGGAAGACGCAAAGAGUAUUGUUGAGGUAGCGGUAAAAUGUGUUAAUCUCAAUUAGACUAACAACGGCGAAGGCACUUUGCGAGUACGGAUCUGACAGUGAGGGAUGAAGGCUAGGGGCGCAAAAGGGAUUAGAUACCCGCGUAGUC